rnacentral:rRNA from 1 species
UGCGUAGCGCAAGCGUUAAUCGGAAUUACUGGGCGUAAAGCGUGCGCAGGCGGUUAUAUAAGACAGAUGUGAAAUCCCCGGGCUCAACCUGGGAACUGCAUUUGUGACUGUAUAGCUAGAGUACGGCAGAGGGGGAUGGAAUUCCGCGUGUAGCAGUGAAAUGCGUAGAUAUGCGGAGGAACACCGAUGGCGAAGGCAAUCCCCUGGGCCUGUACUGACGCUCAUGCACGAAAGCGUGGGGAGCAAACAGGAUUAGAUACCCUGGUAGUCA